UUCUUCAACAGGAAAUAUUUGAAGCAGAUGCAGCAGUAAGAUUCUUGACACUGAAAACAGAGUGAUUUGCCAGGAAAACGCAUUUUAUGAGGGAACAGACCAAAAGUGAAGUGUGGAACAAAACACGAACAAAUACAUAUUCAAGCUAUUAAGACUAAGCAGCUGUGACUCAGGAAUGGGUGAUCCAAGCAAGUGACUAUAUUUUACGGAUCCACAAAAAGAAUCUGAAACAUUCCUCCUCCCUAAAAAAAAUAAGAACUUGGUUUAGGAUUCCUAAUGCUUCUGCGGCUUUCUUAUCAUCAUUUCAUAGACAUUAAAUUACUUCUUGCAUAUGUUUUGGAAACUUU